UUUCUCUUUUCUUCUUCUUCUCUUCCCUUCACCGCCAAGUUUGAAGACAUCCAAGUUCCCUUUAUUUUUUUGUUCUUUUUCCUUCUUCAAUUUGCAGAGAACUUCUAAGAGAGAGUUUGGAAGAAGAAGAGAAAUUUUACUAGAAUUUUUAGGUUGAAGAAGAGGAGGAGAACUCAAGCAAAGUGUAUCAAUGGCUGAAUUUUAGUUCAUUCUGCACAUCACUGGUUUUUAAUUCGGUUUGAACUCUUCAAACGGAAUUAAGAGGGCAGUUGGUUUUCACUCGAAAUCAGGAGGUCUCUGGUUUUUCUUGUAUUUCAGAGUGUAUCGGUGGAGUUAGAAUUUCUAUUUGGAACAAGUUAAAGAGGUCGUGUGCGCGCGAUUCUGGAAGUGGUUCUGUUUUGAGGGUUAUAUGUGUUUAUGCACGGGGAAUCAGAUUUAUAUGUCUUGAGGCCGAGAAGAAUUAAACCGAGCUUAUAGACCAAGGAUCUAGCCCAAGACUGUAGAGAUCGACUUCCCGGUGCCUGAUAGACUGCCUUAGUCUGCGGAAGCUUCAUUAUCGAUUGCCAGUACGUGUUUUGAGUUGGGCAUAAAGUCUGUUGUGUUGUGAUGUAUUCACACCCUUGUAUGUUAUAGAUACUCCACAGUUUGUAUAAGCUUUAGGAGCUGUAGUUGUGUAAAUUUUGUUGGUUAUAUUUUGAUUAAGGUGUCUUUAGGUUUACUCGUGAAAUUGGUAAAUUUUGAGGUACACUUCAUGAUGUGUUUGACUAGCUGUGUUUGACUAGCCUAGGAUCCGAUGUGUUUUGUGGCAUGUACAAUAGUUUAUAUACUAGAUUGGUAAGUUCAUCACAUGAAAGUUUUAAGCAGAGUCGACAGAUACAGGUACAGAAUAACGUUGUACGUCGGCUUCACGCCAUCUUUCGGUCUAAGGUAGCAGGUAGUCCGGGAGGGGGUGUGACACAAUAGCUUCCCAUUAAUUACCAUAACUUUCUUAUCUAUAUUUGGUUUAUUCUCACAACCCUAUAAAUAGAGGUUGUAAAGAUCAUUUGUAUACCCACCACAAUUGAGUUCAAUUGUCUUCUCUUCUUCUUCUC